rnacentral:rRNA from 1 species
AUUGAACGCUGGCGGCAUGCCUUACACAUGCCAGUCGAACGGCAGCACGGGUGCUUGCACCUGGUGGCGAGUGGCGAACGGGUGAGUAAUACAUCGGAACGUACCUUAUCGUGGGGGAUAACGCAGCGAAAGCUGUGCUAAUACCGCAUACGCCCUGAGGGGGAAAGCGGGGGAUCGCAAGACCUCGCGCGAUUAGAGCGGCUGAUGCCUGAUUAGCUUGUUGGUGGGGUAAAAGCCCACCAAGGCGACGAUCAGUAGCUGGUCUGAGAGGACGAUCGGCCACACUGGGACUGAGACACGGCCCAGACUCCUACGGGAGGCAGCAGUGGGGAGUUUUGGACAAUGGGGGCAACCCUGAUCCAGCAAUGCCGCGUGAGUGAAGAAGGCCUUCGGGUUGUAAAGCUCUUUUGUCAGGGAAGAAACACCGGCUCUAACACAGUCCGGGAAUGACGGUACCUGAAGAAUAAGCACCGGCUAACUACGUGCCAGCCGCCGCCGUAA